rnacentral:lncRNA from 1 species
UUCUGACUAAUAAUUAGAUAUCCAUUAACAAAAUUACAAAACCACAAUGUAGCAAUAUUCAAUAGACAUAUAUUAGCAUCGUCAUUUUCUUCAAUUAAUUUCAAAAUAAAAUCCACACGAUGUUUUCGAACUUAUUUACUGUGAUCCGGUGAUUUGAUCUCGAGUCAUCAAAUAUCUGUAAAGAAAAAAAAACACACAAUCAAUAUGAAUCCUAAUUUUUUUAUCAUAUGAACAUUAAAAAAUACAAUCAAUAACAACUUAUAAUUUUUUAUCAGACAAAUACAAAAAAAUACAAUCAAUAACAACAUGUAAAAAAUUACGUACUUGCAUCCAUGAAACAACUAUGUUAAGAUGUUCAACAUAUGCAACAUGACAUAGUAGUCACUCUUAUAGAUUUGUCAUGUUUAACAAAUCAUCAUACCAUAUCCGUUUUGUAUAACUAUGACAAAUCCCAUGAUGAUUUCUUAUUUCUUCAAAAUAUAACAUGUUCUAUUUAAAAAAACAACAAUAAAUUUUUUCUUGGUUUUUAUGAAGUUUUUUUUAAAAGUAAAUCGUAAAAAUUUAUCCACACUUGUACACUUACUCAAAUAACUAUGAUACAUAAUUAUUUGUUAGAAAUAAGUAACUAUUAAAGUAAAAUAAAAAAUCAUUAGAAAAAAAAAUGAAUUUGACAUAUUUUUUUCCUUCAAAUAAUAUGAUAUUAUUAUCUAAAUGAAAUUAUGAGCACAUAUACUAAUCAUUUUAUCUAAAUGAAUUAUUCAUAUAAAUUUAUUAUUCAAUAACUUGAACAACCAUACCUGAAAUAGUGGCGAUGAAACACGUACAGAUGGCGAUGUGAAGAUAAAACGUUUCACGUGGUUAAAGGUUAUUGUUUACGUUUACCUUUAAGUCAGUUAUUAAUAAAACCGCGUUAAACAAGUUUUAAAUAUUUACAAAAUUGUCACCGCCUCGUUUUAUUAAAUCGUUUAACAAGUAACUGAUUUUUAUUAAAUCGUUUAACAAGUAACUGAUUUAGCGAGUAUGAUGGGAUAUAUUAAUUUUUUAAUUUUAUUUUUACAGUAUCUCUUAAGUCGGUUGUCAAUCUAACCGUGUUAAUCGUUUUUCACAUAUUUACAAAUCUGUCACCGCCUCAUUUUGUUAACUCGUUUAUACGCACAAGCGACUUAAAUGUACCUCUGCCUCAUUUGUUAAGUCUGGUAGCACAUAACCGACUUAAAUCUGUUGUAUUAAAAGCCCAAUUUUCUAGUAGUGAAUAACAACAACAACAACAAAUUAUAAACAAAAGUAUACGAAUAAUCAAAUAUGUUAUAAUUGCAUAAAUAACAUAAGAAAACCAAAACUAAAUAGAUUCAACAAGAUUCAUCUAAUACAUAAUCGUUGAGUAAAUUACCUACUCAUAUUAUUUGAUAAAAGAUACAUAGAGAGAAGGAAAUUACACAUAAAGGUUGCAUUUUGUCUCCUCUUUGUGCAGAUGCCUCCUUUUUUGCAUCAAAAAAUUUAAACCCUAACAAAAUUAUAAUUUUUGACUUAAAUAAUGGUAUGAGAACUCGCACCAACGCAUUGCGCUAGGUCUAGGAGCAAUGCGCUACAAUAACUAACAUUUAUUAUGGUGCAACAAUUUGCGCAAUGUGUUGCCUGAAAGCUAAUUGUGGUGUAGCACGUUGCGCAAUGCGCUGAGGUGCUUCUUUGUUGCGCUCAGAUACGGUGAGUUGUGUCAAGAUGCGCACUACAAUAUAGUGACUGGCGCAAUGCGCCCUUGGUCCUCCCUAUUGUGCUCUAACUUCUAUCAAAAGGAAAUUUUGUACUUUGAAAUCACCUUGUGUCAGCACUAACCCUAUGAAAUCACCAAUUAUUACUUAGCAAGAUGACACAUUUUUUUUUCUCUUUUUCUUUACAACGAUUUUCUGCUUUUGUUUAUCUUGUACUACACCCCAAAUUAAAAAUGUUGUUAUUUCAUGAGAAACCUCAAAAUUAAAGUUUUUGUCAAGUCAUAAAUAGCAUAUCCUACCUAACUCCAAGUAAGGUUUAGGAUAAAAAUAAUUUUGGCCAUUGACUUGUAAUAAGUCUAAGUAACACAAAUAAAGGGAUUCAGGCUCAAAGGUGCAAACGAAUGAUAAUAACUAGUACAGGGUGGACAAAAAUAACUCAAAAGGUAACAAGAAAAAAGCAUCAGUCUAUGUACAAUUUACAAGUAAACACAAUGUAGAGAAAAAAAUGCAAGUUCUAAAGAAAUGAUACAUGUCAAAAUUUCAUACACCGAAGAAAAUAAAUAUUCGGGUCAAACCUCACUUGUUAGGUAAGAGGAAACAAAAUCUUCAUUUGGCAGGUCAAAUGAAUUGUCAAUUAUGUAGGCAAAUAUUAAUGAUCUCAAACAACCCAUGCUGCAAACUGACAAUGUUAUUUAUAAAAACAAGUACUUUUAUUAGAGUUGUGUGAACAAGUGCACAAACAAAUAUUGAAGGAAAGGUAACACAAAGAUAUCAACUUUGAAGAAAACAGGCUAGUCUCAUUAAUUCAAAAUGUAAAGCAUUACAAAUAAAAUUGUUAAAAAUAAAACCAAAAUACAAUAAAAUUUAAAUUAAAAAGGACAAAACAAAUAAAAACUACACUUAAAAAUGGUAAACAAAAAAGAAUAAAAAAAAUAAAAUAAGAAACACAUAAAAAAACGACAACUGAGGUCCUUGCCUCAUUCCUAAAACUAGUCAUAAUCAAAGUUUAAGUUUGUUCUAAUACAUCAGAGAAAUCACAACUCGACCCUAAGUGGGGAAGAACUCCUGGUGUUGGUAGUUUGAGGUAGGUUGAGGAGGAAUAGAUUGUUAGUGUUGAGGAUGGAAUUGAGGCGAGAAAGGAAUGUCAGAGUAGUGCUGGUAGAAAUCAGGCACACUAACAUGCUCCAUAUUGGCACUCAUAAAGCUUUGAGCAUAUGUCGUCUAGUCAUGUUAGUUUGUAAAUCAUACUGGUGGUACACCUCCAAAUGAGUAUUGGUCAUGCAUGUCACAUAACAUCAUAAUUCAAAAUAUGUGCUGAGGUGGUUGAGGUAGAGGGUCUAGCUGCAAGAGCAUCGUCAAUCUUCUUGAGCUCACUCUCAAACCAUUUUUUUUAUAUGUUUGAGAGGAGUGAGUUUACCAUCAUUUGGAUAACUCUUGAUCCCUUGUUCCAAAUACAACAUGUGAACGAUUGAAGCAUGCCCCAAAACUAUUUUAUCGUCAUUUUCCAACUUGACAAUGUUGUUUGAGAUAAUUUGUCCCAAAUUAAUGGGACGCCUUUUAUUCAAGGCAAAGACACCAAGUGUCGUUUACACUCUAACCUCCGAGUAGUUGAAACAUGAUUCCACACUAUGGUGGAAGAAGAUAAACCAAACUUUCGCCUAUAGGUUAAGGGAAGUCGGGUCUAUCAAUACCGGGAAAGGGUUGUUGGGAAGGUAAGGUCUCCAUUGGGCAUUUUUUGGCUCAAAGUUUCUAAAAUAUAAUUGUAAUUUAUAUAUGCUACAUGCUUUUCUCUCAUUAUUGUCAACCAACAUUGUAGCAGGGGUUCUAUUUACAAGAGUCUGCUAAAAGUGUUCCCACAAUACACUAUUUUCUCCCCCCUCACAUAAGACCUCCAAGUUUGUCCCUCGUGUUUUCUCACAUAGGCAUUGGUGUAAAACUCCUUCACCCAUACCUCAUUUGUCUUUGCUAUAAUGUUGUUAAACUUUCCACAUAUGGAAUAGUAGCACAUAGAAAAAAAAUAACACAAGAACAAGAACUCUUUUUGCAAUGGUUUUGGAUGCAAAUGGGAGUUGAAACAAAGUUUCAAGUUCAAUUUUUUAAAGGGGAUGUGUACUGGCGUAAUAUGCGAUCCUUCUAAACAAAAUGGCACAAUAAUAUUCCAGGAAAUUCACUCCAGUGCAAUGGCGCAAACCACUAGUGCAAUGCACUAGUCAACAACCACAUAGGGUUUUUAAAAUGCAAUUCAAUGUGUCAUAGUGUUUUUCCUAACACCCAGCUCUACCUCUUCCUCUCCUUUAUUUUUCCAUUGAAGUCGGGAUGACUGACCUGCAUCCUUUAUUUUUCCUUAGAAGUCAAGAUGACUUACUUGCACCGUUUAUUUUUCCUUUGAAGCCUAGAUGAUUGGCCCGCACCUUUAUUUUUUUCUUUGAAGCCAGAACAUCCUUUAUUUUUAUUUCGAAGUCGAGAUGACUUCCCCACACCCUUUAUUUUUUUUCUUUAAAGCUGGGAUUUCUGACUCGCACCCUCUAUUUUUCUUUUGAAUCUAGGAUGACUAACCCACACUCUUUUUGUUUUUCCUUGACACUGAGAUUUCUGACCCACACUAUUUAUUUCUCCUUUGAAGCCAGAAUGACUGACUCGCAUCCUUUAUUUUUUCUUUGAAGUCGAGAUAACUAACACGCACCAUUUAUUUUUCCUUUCAAGCUGGGAUGAUUGACCUGCACCCUUUAUUUUUCCUUUGAAGCUAGGAUUUUCGACCCGAACCCUUUAUUUUUCCUUUGAAACUAGGAUGACUAACCUGCAUCCUUUAUUUUUCCUUUAAAGACGAUAUGACUGAUUCACACCCUUUGCUUUUUCUUUGAAGUUGGGAUGACUAACAUGCACCCUUUAUUUUUUGAAGCUGGGAUGACUUACCCGCACCAUUUAUUAUUCUUUUGAAGUCGAGAUUUCUGACUUGGACACAUUUUAUUGUUCGUUUAAUGUUGGGAUUUCCAACCUGCACCCCUUUGCGUCCUAAGUCGAGAAAACAACUUGCAUCUUAAGUCAAAAAAACGACUCACAUCUUAAGCCAAGAAAAAUAACUCACACCCCAAGUCAAAAAAACGACCUGAAUCUUAUGUCGCAAAAUAACUUGCACCCUUCUUCAUCAAUGCUAUCUUUUUUGGACAAAAUUAGAGUCGUGGUAUUUACUUAUUCUUUACUAUGAUUCUCUAGUAAAUUCUAAGUAGAGAGGAAGAGCUAUUACCACUUAAUUUUGAUCACCGUUUUAUAAUUACUCAUAAAAAAAAUGACAGUUUGAAGUUUUUACCUUAACUUUUUGUUUUUUAUUUCAAUAAAAAACAAUAUGAUUUUCAUUUAUUUUAUUUUUUUGAUUUUUGGUUGUUAAUAAAAAGAAAUAUAUAUUUAACUUUUUCUUCAUUUUUAUUUAUUACUUUUUAGGUCUAAAAUUAACAUGAUAAUAAAAAAUAAAUAAUUCAAAUCAUUUUUUAUUUUAUUAAUGGAAACAAAAAUUAAAAUAAAAAGAUAAUUACGAUUUUUUUUAUUUUAGAAAUGAUUUUCAUUUGAUUUGUCUAGAUUGAUACAAUUUACAAUCCCUGGUAAUUUAAGCAAGUUUUUUUAAUACUUAAAAGCAAUAAUGGUAACCGAAGAAAAUCGAUCUUGGUACUUAGCAAUGAUUGCAAAUUUUGUUUCCAAAAUUUCUUUAACCUAUGAAAUAACUAAUUCAGAUAUUUGAUUAAAAAAAAAUAACAUAUGAAAUAGUUAUAAAUAUAGAUUGAUAAUUAGAGAACCAAUAUCAUGCACGAAGUCAAUAUUAAAAUUUAAAUAGUAAAUAAAAUAUCGAAUUUGGAAUAAAAAUCCUAAAUAAACCAUGCAUGAUGUCUUUUAUCCAUGUAUCUCUUGACCAUUAUUGAAAUAAAAAUUUCACAUUUUGAGAAUUGGUUUGUCAUCAAUAAUUUGCUUUACUUCUUAUGUCUUCUCCAUAAAUUUAUGAUUGAUAUCAAGUGCCACCUUGAAUAAAAGAAACUUGUUUAUGAGUUUAUCAUAUCAUUCAAUUGUUAUUAACUUUCAAAGUGUCAUCAACAAAAUGACAGAUAUAAAUAUAAAACUUUAUAUACAUGUAUGGUCAACCAUUAUUUAGUUAAAAAAAGUAGGUAAUAGUUAAGUUUUAAUAUUUACCAUUCCAUUGAAAAUAAUCAUAUCAUCACAGAAUUUCUAUAAAAAAUGUUCCAUUAUGUUGUUAAAUAUAAAAAUAAAAUAAAAAUUAGUGUUAGAGUCGUCAAUAUAAUAAUAUGUAAUAUAUGAUACAAAAACAAAACAAUAAACAAACUCUAACCUUGUUGUUCAUCGAGACUAACUCUAAAAAACGAAAGUUUGUUGUGGUUGACGUCUCUUACUUUCAAUUUUCUUUCGAAUACUUAUAUUAAAGAGAACAUCAUAUUUUGGAGGUAUUGUGUGUAUCAUAUUUUUUAUGUGCUUAC